rnacentral:rRNA from 1 species
AGGGCACCACCAGGAGUGGAGCCUGCGGCUUAAUUUGACUCAACACGGGAAAACUCACCCGGCCCGGACACUGGAAGGAUUGACAGAUUGAGAGCUCUUUCUUGAUUCAGUGGGUGGUGGUGCAUGGCCGUUCUUAGUUGGUGGAGUGAUUUGUCUGGUUAAUUCCGAUAACGAACGAGACUCUAGCCUACUAAAUAGAUCGUCGGCUUACAAACGCCGACGAGACUUCUUAGAGGGACAGGCGGUGAUUCAACCGCACGAAACAGAGCAAUAACAGGUCUGUGAUGCCCUUAGAUGUCCGGGGCCGCACGCGCGCUACACUGAAGUGAUCAGCGUGCUUUUGUCAACCUACUCUGUCAAGAGUGGGGAACCCAAUGAACCUUCUUCGUGAUUGGGAUAGGGGAUUGUAAUUAUUCCCCUUGAACGAGGAAUUCCCAGUAAGCGCGAGUCAUAAGCUCGCGUUGAUUACGUCCCUGCCCUUUGUACACACCGCCCGUCGCUACUACCGAUUGAAUGUUU